rnacentral:rRNA from 1 species
AUUGAACACUGGCGGCAGGCCUAACACAUGCAAGUCGAACGGCAGCACAGAAGAGCUUGCUCUUUGGGUGGCGAGUGGCGGACGGGUGAGUAACACGUAGGAAUCUACCCAGUAGUGGGGGAUAACCUGGGGAAACCCAGGCUAAUACCGCAUACGCCCUGAGGGGGAAAGCGGGGGGAUCUUCGGACCUCGCGCUAUUGGAUGAGCCUGCGUCGGAUUAGCUAGUUGGUGGGUAAGGGCCCACCAAGGCGACGAUCCGUAGCUGGUCUGAGAGGAUGACCAGUCACACCGGAACUGAGACACGGUCCGGACUCCUACGGGAGGCAGCAGUGGGGAAUAUUGGACAAUGGGCGCAAGCCUGAUCCAGCCAUGCCGCGUGGGUGAAGAAGGCC